rnacentral:rRNA from 1 species
CCUACGGGAGGCUGGAGUGGGGAAUAUUGGACAAUGGGGGCAACCCUGAUCCAGCCAUGCCGCGUGUGUGAAGAAGGCCCUCGGGUUGUAAAGCACUUUCAGUGAGGAAGAACGCCUGGUGGUUAAUACCCAUCAGGAAAGACAUCACUCACAGAAGAAGCACCGGCUAACUCCGUGCCAGCAGCCGCGGUAAUACGGAGGGUGCGAGCGUUAAUCGGAAUUACUGGGCGUAAAGCGCGCGUAGGUGGCUUGAUAAGCCGGUUGUGAAAGCCCCGGGCUCAACCUGGGAACGGCAUCCGGAACUGUCAAGCUAGAGUGCAGGAGAGGAAGGUAGAAUUCCCGGUGUAGCGGUGAAAUGCGUAGAGAUCGGGAGGAAUACCAGUGGCGAAGGCGGCCUUCUGGACUGACACUGACACUGAGGUGCGAAAGCGUGGGUAGCAAACAGGAUUAGAUACCCCGGUAGUC